UGGGGAAUUUUGGACAAUGGGCGAAAGCCUGAUCCAGCAAUGCCGCGUGUGUGAAGAAGGCCUUCGGGUUGUAAAGCACUUUUGUCCGGAAAGAAAUCCUUGGCUCUAAUACAGUCGGGGGAUACGGUACCGGAAGAAUAAGCACCGGCUAACUACGUGCCAGCAGCCGCGGUAAUACGUAGGGUGCAAGCGUUAAUCGGAAUUACUGGGCGUAAAGCGUGCGCAGGCGGUUUGCUAAGACCGAUGUGAAAUCCCCGGGCUCAACCUGGGAACUGCAUUGGUGACUGGCAGGCUAGAGUAUGGCAGAGGGGGGUAGAAUUCCACGUGUAGCAGUGAAAUGCGUAGAGAUGUGGAGGAAUACCGAUGGCGAAGGCAGCCCCCUGGGGCCAAUACUGACGCUCAUGCACGAAAGCGUGGGGAGCAAACAGGAUU
rnacentral:rRNA from 1 species